rnacentral:rRNA from 1 species
CAGCCGCCACGGUAAUACGGAGGAUCCAAGCGUUAUCCGGAAUCAUUGGGUUUAAAGGGUCCGUAGGCGGUCUUGUAAGUCAGUGGUGAAAGCCCAUCGCUCAACGGUGGAACGGCCAUUGAUACUGCAGGACUUGAAUUAUUGGGAAGUAACUAGAAUAUGUAGUGUAGCGGUGAAAUGCUUAGAGAUUACAUGGAAUACCAAUUGCGAAGGCAGGUUACUACCAAUUGAUUGACGCUGAUGGACGAAAGCGUGGGUAGCGAACAGGAUUAGAUACCCGGGUAGUCCCUGUCUCUUAUAC